rnacentral:rRNA from 1 species
UGCUUGCAGUGGAACAUACACAGGUGCUGCAUGGCUGUCGUCAGCUCGUGCUGUGAAGUGUCGGGUUAAGGUCCCUUAACGAGCGAAACCCCUACUCACUAGUUGCCAGCGAGUCAUGUCGGGGACGUCUAGUGAGACUGCCGGUGUCAAACCGGAAGGAAGGUGGGGAGUGACGUCAAGUCCUCAUGGCCCUUAUGCCCAGGGCUGCACACGUGCUACAAUGGCGUAUACAAAGCGACGCGAGACCGCAAGGUGGAGCAAAUCGCAUAAAGUACGCCCCACGUUCGGAUUGUGGUCUGCAACUCGACCACAUGAAGUUGGAAUCGCUAGUAAUCGCGCAUCAGCUACGGCGCGGUGAAUGUGUUCCUGAGCCUU